UAGGGAAUCUUCCACAAUGGACGAAAGUCUGAUGGAGCAACGCCGCGUGAGUGAAGAAGGGUUUCGGCUCGUAAAGCUCUGUUGUUAAAGAAGAACGUGGGUAAGAGUAACUGUUUACCCAGUGACGGUAUUUAACCAGAAAGCCACGGCUAACUACGUGCCGG
rnacentral:rRNA from 1 species